rnacentral:rRNA from 1 species
UACGUAGGGGGCUAGCGUUGUCCGGAAUCAUUGGGCGUAAAGAGCGUGUAGGCGGCCCGGUAAGUCCGCUGUGAAAGUCGGGGGCUCAACCCUCGAAUGCCGGUGGAUACUGUCGGGCUAGAGUGCGGAAGAGGCGAGUGGAAUUCCUGGUGUAGCGGUGGAAUGCGCAGAUAUCAGGAGGAACACCAGUGGCGAAGGCGGUGCUCUGGGCCGGAACUGACGCUGAGGAGCGAAAGCGUGGGGAGCAAACAGG